UGCCUAACACAUGCAAGUCGAGCGAUUUACUUCGGUAAAGAGCGGCGGACGGGUGAGUAACGCGUGGGUAACCUGCCCUGUACACACGGAUAACAUACCGAAAGGUAUGCUAAUACGGGAUAAUAUAAGAGAGUCGCAUGGCUUUCUUAUCAAAGCUCCGGCGGUACAGGAUGGACCCGCGUCUGAUUAGCUAGUUGGUAAGGUAACGGCUUACCUAGGCGACGAUCAGUAGCCGACCUGAGAGGGUGAUCGGCCACAUUGGAACUGAGACACGGUCCAAACUCCUACGGGAGGCAGCAGUGGGGAAUAUUGCACAAUGGGCGAAAGCCUGAUGCAGCAACGCCGCGUGAGCGAUGAAGGCCUUCGGGUCGUAAAGCUCUGUCCUCAAGGAAGAUAAUGACGGUACUUGAGGAGGAAGCCCCGGCUAACUACGUGCCAGCAGCCGCGGUAAUACGUAGGGGGCUAGCGUUAUCCGGAAUUACUGGGCGUAAAGGGUGCGUAGGUGGUUUCUUAAGUCAGAAGUGAAAGGCUACGGCUCAACCGUAGUAAGCUUUUGAAACUGAGAAACUUGAGUGCAGGAGAGGAGAGUAGAAUUCCUAGUGUAGCGGUGAAAUGCGUAGAUAUUAGGAGGAAUACCAGUUGCGAAGGCGGCUCUCUGGACUGUAACUGACACUGAGGCACGAAAGCGUGGGGGAGCAAACAGGAUUAGAUACCCUGGUAGUCCACGCCGUAAACGAUGAGUACUAGCUGUCGGAGGUUACCCCCUUCGGUGGCGCAGCUAACGCAUUAAGUACUCCGCCUGGGAAGUACGCUCGCAAGAGUGAAACUCAAAGGAAUUGACGGGGACCCGCACAAGUAGCGGAGCAUGUGGUUUAAUUCGAAGCAACGCGAAGAACCUUACCUAAGCUUGACAUCCUUCUGACCUCUCCCUAAUCGGAGAUUUCCCUUCGGGGACAGAAGUGACAGGUGGUGCAUGGUUGUCGUCAGCUCGUGUCGUGAGAUGUUGGGUUAAGUCCCGCAACGAGCGCAACCCUUGCCUUUAGUUGCCAGCAUUAAGUUGGGCACUCUAGAGGGACUGCCAGGGAUAACCUGGAGGAAGGUGGGGAUGACGUCAAAUCAUCAUGCCCCUUAUGCUUAGGGCUACACACGUGCUACAAUGGGUGGUACAGAGGGCAGCCAAGUCGUGAGGCGGAGCUAAUCCCUUAAAGCCAUUCUCAGUUCGGAUUGUAGGCUGAAACUCGCCUACAUGAAGCUGGAGUUACUAGUAAUCGCAGAUCAGAAUGCUGCGGUGAAUGCGUUCCCGGGUCUUGUACACACCGCCCGUCACACCACGGAAGUUGGGGGCGCCCGAAGCCACUUAGCUAACCUUUUGGAAGCGAGUGUCGAAGGUGAAAUCAAUAACUGGGGUGAAGU
rnacentral:rRNA from 1 species